rnacentral:rRNA from 1 species
GUGAGGAAUAUUGCGCAAUGGAGGCAACUCUGACGCAGCCAUGCCGCGUGCAGGAAGAAGGCGCUACGUGUUGUAAACUGCUUUUAACCGGGAAGAAACCCCAGGACGUGUCCUGGGUUGACGGUACCGGAGGAAUAAGCACCGGCUAACUUCGUGCCAGCAGCCGCGGUAAUACGAAGGGUGCAAGCGUUAUCCGGAUUCAUUGGGUUUAAAGGGUGCGUAGGCGGAGCGUUAAGUCAGUGGUGAAAUCCUGCAGCUUAACUGUAGACUUGCCAUUGAUACUGGCGCUCUUGAGUGCGCUUGAAGUGGGCGGAAUGUGCCGUGUAGCGGUGAAAUGCUUAGAUAUGGCACAGAACACCAAUUGCGAAGGCAGCUCACUAAGGCGAUACUGACGCUGAGGCACGAAAGCGUGGGGAUCGAACAGGAUUAGAUACCCUUGUAGUCC